rnacentral:lncRNA from 1 species
CUUUACAUUAUAAUUAGGAACCUCGUGUAUUUACAAGCCCCGGAUCAACUCUUAGCAUCCAAAUCGUCAUACUUCUCGUCCGGUGAGUUCAUACCCCUACGCCUUUUUCACUGUUUUUAACUGUUUUCAGGGGGGGAAUACAAGCAAAUCAAAACUGUUUUCAAAUCAUAACAUUUAUGUGUUUCAAAUAAUAUCUGGCAAUCUUAUAAACUCUUUUACUCCUUAUGUAUUAUGUUGAGCAUAAGGAAUGAUUUAUCAAUUACAACUAAAUGGAUUUUAGUUAAGAAAAUAACCAAACUAAU